AAUGUAGCCAACCAGAGGGAACAUCUAAUUCUUCUCCUUGCCAAUAUUCACAUUCAGAAAGCUAAUAAGCAGUCUGUCUUGAAGGAUCUUGCAGGCAAAGGACACCAAGUGAAUUAGAUAGAGAGGUUAAGAACUUGAGGGUGGCAUUUACUGACCUGUUUUUGAAGCAUAACACUUUCAAAGAAACUGCAAAGCCAUCGAGAUAUUGAUGCAAAGAAUGGAAGAAUGCAUUUCACUAAUUUUUGUAUACAUUUCUUGUUUUGUAUUUAGUGAUAAAGGAAUCUGAAUUGGGCAUAAAUUAUGUUGUAAUAUGAUUUCUUAAGCCUAGACUAGUAGACUAAAUAUUGUAAUUACAUUUGAGUAAUUAAUAAAAAUCUAUUUAUGUUA